ACAGGUGGUGCAUGGUUGUCGUCAGCUCCGUGUCGUGAGAUGUUGGGUAAGUCCCGCAACGAGCGCAACCCUUAUCAUUAGUUGCUAACAUUCAGCUGAGAACUCUAAUGAGACUGCCAGUGAUAACUGGAGGAAGGUGGGAUGACGUCAAAUCAUCAUGCCCCUUAUGACCUGGGCUACACACGUGCUACAAUGGCCGGUACAAAGAGUUGCGAAACUGUGAAGUUAAGCUAAUCUCAUAAAGCCGGUCUCAGUUCGGAUUGUAGUCUGCAACUCGACUACAUGAAGUCGGAAUCGCUAGUAAUCGCGAAUCAGAAUGUCGCGGUGAAUACGUUCUCGAGUCUU
rnacentral:rRNA from 1 species